rnacentral:rRNA from 1 species
UCAUGAGAGUGUGAGAGUGGUCAGAUCACGUCGGACUUAGGGAUAGUGGUGGAUUGGAUGAGAAUCGUAGAGGUGAAAUUCUUGGAUUGACUCAAGACCGACUAGGCCGAAAGCAUUUGCCAAGGAUGUUUCAUUAAUCAGGACGAAGGUUAGGGGAUCAAAAACGAUCAGAUACCGUUGUAGUCUUAACAGUAAACUAUGCCGACUAGGGAUCGGGUGAACCUCACAUAUUAUGGUCGCUCGCACCUUACGAGAAUCAAGUCUUUGGGUCUGGGGGAGUAUGACUCAGCUGAGACUCAAGUAUUGACGUAGCUACCUGUGUGAGCUGCGUAUUUGACUCCCCCGUAAUCCCG